GCAGAGUCACGUGAUCAGACACGCAGCAGGUCGCGCGUGCGCAGUACUGGAACGACAGGUCAAGCAGUGGGAGAGCGAUGUGUACAUCCCAGAAGACGUAAAUGGCAGCAAAUCUACUGGAGCAGUCCCGGGGAUAUGGCCAGGCAGCCCAGAAGACAUGGAGAUGUGUUGAGGGGACCGAGGGCUUUGAGUGGAGCCGGAUGCUCGUGAGAUGAAUGGACAGUUGUAUUGUUUGUGCAUGUGCGAAGGGAGGAGCUGAGUUCCAGGGCCAAUGAGAAGCGAGCGAGGAUUGUGGGAAGGAGCCGUCCUAUUGGUCAGGAUCGUCCGUGCAGCUGCUGCGUAAUCAGGAGAGCAGUACUUAAGAGGCAUUAGUGCUGGAGCGGCAGCGAAAGCGGCAGCCCUGCGGUGGCAGCCGAGCGGUGUUCAUCCCUUGCGGUGUGAAGACCGGCGGGGUAAAGACAAGGCGCGACUCUGCGCGACUCUAACUGCGCGACUCCAACGAGCAGAGGACAACGGCAGAGGAUGCAUUUAAAGAUUGUGCAGCACCACUGAUGUGAUCCAAAAGCUGUGAAGACAUGAUGCCAAACAUCAACCACCUCAACCACAACACAUACAAAGACGUCAUGCCAGCCAUCUAACACUUGCACAGAAGCCCAUCUCGACGCCUCUACAGACUGUGCAACACCAUUGAUAAGAUCCCAGACCUGUCAAGAGAUGAUGCCAACCAUGGAACCAUCCACACCUUCCUGGAGAAACACAAACCUGUGCUGCAACACUGACCACUGCAUGCACUGACAACUUCAACCAUCACCACAUCACAUUACAGUUCUUGCAUUUACUAACAUGAAGGACGAAAAGUACACUACAGUAUUUCUUCAUUUGUUAGUGCAAUAAAUAAUGUUAACAAGCAUGCAUUUGGAUGUUCAUAUUGUAAAUGUUCGUUAUUAAAUGUAAUACAAGUAUUGUUUAUAAUUACUUCAUGUUAGUAAAUACAAUAACUAAUGACACCUUAUUGUAAAGUAUGACAUCAUCACCAAGCAAUCAAAAAAAUACACCCUGUUUGUAUUGUCAGAAUAAAGAUUUUACAAUAAUAAAGAUUUGUUUUUGGGGUAAAUGAUCAUUACAAUUAUUACAAGUAUAAUAUGAAUACAUUAAUAAAUAUGAAGACAUCUAAAGUA
rnacentral:lncRNA from 1 species